rnacentral:lncRNA from 1 species
UUUUGGAAGAUUGGAGAAGACGAGCUUCUGGGUCUUCACUUUCCAUUUCCUUUCUAUUUUUUUUUUAUUUUUUUUAAUUAAUUAAAUUUUUAAAUUAAAUUUGUUUUGUUUUAACAGAGAUAAAAAUAAUACUAAUCAAAGACAUAAAAAGGUUUUACAUGUUAGUUUUUGUUUUUUUAAUCUUUUUUUAUUUUUUAUUCCAGUUUAUGUAUUUAAGGUAGUAUCUCAAUAGUAGAUAGUGUUGAGUGGCCUAGUGGAGAGAGGUUAGUUUCAGAAUAUUAGGUGGAAAGGGUUCAAUACUCAUGUGUGACACUUUUUGCUUUUUUAUUUGAUUUUAUUUUCCUUUAGCAUUUUUU